AUUGAACGCUGGCGGCAUGCCUUACACAUGCAAGUCGAACGGCAGCAUGAUCUAGCUUGCUAGAUUGAUGGCGAGUGGCGAACGGGUGAGUAAUACAUCGGAACGUGCCCUGUAGUGGGGGAUAACUAGUCGAAAGAUUAGCUAAUACCGCAUACGACCUGAGGGUGAAAGUGGGGGACCGCAAGGCCUCAUGCUAUAGGAGCGGCCGAUGUCUGAUUAGCUAGUUGGUGAGGUAAAGGCUCACCAAGGCGACGAUCAGUAGCUGGUCUGAGAGGAGGAUGAGCGACACUGGGAAGGAGAGACGGUCGAGACUCCGACGGGAGGCAGCAGGCGGGAAUAUUGGAGAAGGGGCGCAAGCGUGAUCCAGCCAUACCGCGGGAGUGAAGAAGGCUUUAGGGUUGGAAAGGCUGUUGGUGGGGAAAGAAAAGCAGCAGGUUAAUAACACGCGGGUCGGACGUUACCAAAAGAAUGAGCACCGGCUAACUGCGUG
rnacentral:rRNA from 1 species